rnacentral:tRNA from 1 species
GGGCGAUUGGCUCAGUUGGUUAGAGCGCCGGUCUCACAUACCGGAGGUCACUGGUUCGAAUCCAGUAUCGCCCACCA